rnacentral:rRNA from 1 species
UACGGGGGGGCAAGCGUUGUUCGGAAUUACUGGGCGUAAAGGGCUCGUAGGCGGCCAACUAAGUCGGAUGUGAAAUCCCCAGGCCUCAAACUUCGGGGAACUGCAUCCGAUACUGGAUGGCUUGAAUUCGGGGAGAGGGAUGCAGGAAUUCCAGGUGUAGCGGUGAAAUGCGUAGAUAUCUGGAGGAAUACCGGUGGCGAAGGCGGCACUCCUGGACCGGCAUUGACGCCGAGUGAGCGAAAAGCCAGGGGGAGCAAACGGG